UACAGAGGGGGCAAGCGUUGUUCGGAAUUACUGGGCGUAAAGGGCGCGUAGGCGGCCUGUUAAGUCGAACGUGAAAUCCCCGGGCUCAACCCGGGAACUGCGUCCGAUACUGGCAGGCUUGAAUUCGGGAGAGGGAUGCGGAAUUCCAGGUGUAGCGGUGGAAUGCGCAGAUAUCGGGAAGAACACCCGUGGCGAAGGCGGCUCUCUGGGACGGUACUGACGCUGAGACGCGAAAGCGUGGGGGAGCGAACAGG
rnacentral:rRNA from 1 species